rnacentral:rRNA from 1 species
GAUGAACGCUGGCGGCGUGCUUAACACAUGCAAGUCGAACGGUGAAGGCGGAGCUUGCUCUGCUGGAUCAGUGGCGAACGGGUGAGUAACACGUGAGCAAUCUGCCCCUGACUCUGGGAUAAGCGCUGGAAACGGCGUCUAAUACUGGAUACGAGCUGCGAAGGCAUCUUCAGCAGCUGGAAAGAAUUUCGGUCAUGGAUGAGCUCGCGGCCUAUCAGCUUGUUGGUGAGGUAAUGGCUCACCAAGGCGUCGACGGGUAGCCGGCCUGAGAGGGUGACCGGCCACACUGGGACUGAGACACGGCCCAGACUCCUACGGGAGGCAGCAGUGGGGAAUAUUGCACAAUGGGCGAAAGCCUGAUGCAGCAACGCCGCGUGAGGGACGACGGCCUUCGGGUUGUAAACCUCUUUUAGCAGGGAAGAAGCGAAAGUGACGGUACCUGCAGAAAAAGCGCCGGCUAACUACGUG